rnacentral:rRNA from 1 species
GGCUCUCUGACAAAAACAUAUAGAGAGUCGAACCUGCCCAGUGAACAGUUUAACGGCCGCGGUACCCUGACCGUGCAAAGGUAGCAUAAUCAUUUGCCUUAUAAUUGAAGGCUUGUAUGAAUGGUCUGACGAAAGCAAUACUGUCUCUUCUUUAUUAUCUAGAAAUUAACCUAUGGGUGAAGAGGCCUAUAUUAUAUUGAAGGACAAGAAGACCCUGUCGAGCUUUAGAGUAAAGCAGGAAUAUAAGUAUUAAAAAAAAAUCAAUGACUACAUAACUCUUUAGUUGGGGCGACUAAGGAACAAAUAAAGCUUCUUUUAGUUUUUUAGAUCAAUAAAUUUAGAUCAAGCAAAGCUGAUUAAAAGAAUUAGUUACCGCAGGGAUAACAGCAUAAUCUCUCUUGAGAGACCUAAUCGAAAGAGGGGGUUGUGACCUCGAUGUUGGACUAAAAUAUCCUGAAGAUGCAGACGUCUUCGAAGGUUGGUCUGUUCGACCAUUAAAAUUUU